UAACACAUGCAAGACGAACGGAAACGAAACUAGCUUGCUAGUAGGCGUCGAGUGGCGGACGGGUGAGUAACGCGUAGGAAUCUACCUGAUAGUGGGGGAAAGCCCGAAGAAAUUCGGAUUAAUACCGCAUAAUCUAUUCGUAGUAAAGUGAGGGACUUUCGAGCCUCACGCUAUCGGAUGAGCCUGCGUAAGAUUAGCUUGUUGGUAGGGUAAAAGCCUACCAAGGCAACGAUCUUUAGCUGGUCUGAGAGGAUGAUCAGCCACAUCGGGACUGAGACACGGCCCGAACUCCUACGGGAGGCAGCAGUGGGGAAUAUUGGACAAUGGGGGCAACCCUGAUCCAGCAAUACCGCGUGUGUGAAGAAGGCCUGAGGGUUGUAAAGCACUUUCAAUUGUGAAGAAAAGUUAACGGUUUAAUAACCGUUGACCUUGACGUUAACUUUAGAAGAAGCACCGGCUAACUCCGUGCCAGCAGCCGCGGUAAUACGGAGGGUGCAAGCGUUAAUCGGAAUUACUGGGCGUAAAGCGUGCGUAGGCGGUUUAUUAAGUCAGAUGUGAAAGCCCUGGGCUUAACCUGGGAACUGCAUUUGAAACUGGUCAACUAGAGUAUGGUAGAGGAAAGUGGAAUUUCUGGUGUAGCGGUGAAAUGCGUAGAUAUCAGAAGGAACAUCAAUGGCGAAGGCAGCUUUCUGGACCAAUACUGACGCUGAGGUACGAAAGCGUGGGUAGCAAACAGGAUUAGAUACCCUGGUAGUCCACGCCGUAAACGAUGAUAACUAGCCGUUGGGGGGAUUUACCCUUUAGUGGCGAAGCUAACGCGUUAAGUUAUCCGCCUGGGGAGUACGGCCGCAAGGCUAAAACUCAAAGGAAUUGACGGGGACCCGCACAAGCGGUGGAGCAUGUGGUUUAAUUCGAUGCAACGCGAAGAACCUUACCUGGUCUUGACAUCCUGCGAACUUUCUAGAAAUAGAUUGGUGCCUUCGGGAACGCAGUGACAGGUGCUGCAUGGCUGUCGUCAGCUCGUGUCGUGAGAUGUUGGGUUAAGUCCCGUAACGAGCGCAACCCCUAUCCUUAUUUGCCAGCACAUUAUGGUGGGAACUAUAAGGAGACUGCCGGUGAUAAACCGGAGGAAGGCGGGGACGACGUCAAGUCAUCAUGGCCCUUACGACCAGGGCUACACACGUGCUACAAUGGGAAGGACAAAGAGCCGCGAAGCCGCGAGGUGUAGCUAAUCUCAUAAAUCUUUUCGUAGUCCGGAUUGGAGUCUGCAACUCGACUCCAUGAGGUCGGAAUCGCUAGUAAUCGUAGAUCAGAAUGCUACGGUGAAUACGUUCCCGGGUCUUGUACACACCGCCCGUCAUACCAUGGGAGUGGGUUGCACCAGAAGUGGCUAGUCUAACUUUGUGAGGACGGUCACCACGGUGUGAUUCAUGACUGGGGUA
rnacentral:rRNA from 1 species